AGUGAACGCUGGCGGUAGGCCUAACACAUGCAAGUCGAACGGCAGCACAGUAAGAGCUUGCUCUUACGGGUGGCGAGUGGCGGACGGGUGGGGAAUACAUCGGAAUCUACUUUUUCGUGGGGGAUAACGUAGGGAAACUUACGCUAAUACCGCAUACGACCUACGGGUGAAAGCAGGGGAUCUUCGGACCUUGCGCGAUUGAAUGAGCCGAUGUCGGAUUAGCUAGUUGGCGGGGUAAAGGCCCACCAAGGCGACGAUCCGUAGCUGGUCUGAGAGGAUGAUCAGCCACACUGGAACUGAGACACGGUCCAGACUCCUACGGGGGGCAGCAGUGGGGAAUAUUGGACAAAGGGCGCAAGCCUGAUCCAGCCAUACCGCGUGGGUGAAGAAGGCCUUCGGGUUGUAAAGCCCUUUUGUUGGGAAAGAAAAGCAGCAGGUUAAUACCCCGCUGUUCUGACGGUACCCAAAGAAUAAGCACCGGCUAACUUCGUG
rnacentral:rRNA from 1 species